AACCGCUACUAGCGAGGGAGUGACAAACUGAGGGGACAGGGCUUCAUAAAGGAAAGGAGAAAAAAAAUAAGGAAAAAAAAAACUUAUUAGAUUUCAAAGCCCUAGUUUCUUUCUUAGACGUUCAGGUUUGGAUCGAAAUCUGCGGAGAUUGAAGGUUUUCUUAGGUUUUGAUUCUGGAGCAGAAUUACUGGUCUGUUUUAAAUGAGUCGUCUAGGGUUCAAAUCGGUGGUAUAUCAUGGCGACUCGUGUUUGGGGGAAGUUGAGAUUUUCCCCGCGAAAAACCAGAAUGUUCAAUUCCCAAAUAACGAAAUACGAAUCAACUACAUCUCUCAGCCCAGUGAACGAUGCCCUCCUCUUUCAGUCCUUCAAACGAUUUCUCCUUUUUCAGUUCGUUGCAAGCUUGAAUCGAAAACUGUGGUCGAGCAGUCUCCACUGAGUCGUCUUCAUGCUUCCUGUUUCUAUGAAUUAAAGACGGCCGUCGUGUUGCUCGGAGAGGAAGAGCUCCAUUUGGUGGCAAUGACGAGCAAGCAGGAGAAGUUCCCGUGCUUUUGGUGUUGUUCAGUUCCAUUAGGUCUUUACGGUUCUUGCUUAGGGAUGCUGAAUCUCCGGUGUCUCGCGAUUGUGUUUGAUCUUGACGAGACACUUAUUGUUGCUAAUACAAUGAAGUCAUUUGAGGACAGAAUUGACGCUCUGCAACGUAGGAUUGCCUGUGAAACUGAUCCGGUUCGAGUUUCAGGAAUGUCAGCUGAGCUUAAACGAUAUGUAGAAGAUAGAAUGUUGUUGAAACAGUACAUAGAAGGCGAUUAUGUCAUGGAUAAUGGUAAAACGCUCAAGGUUCAGCUGGAGGAGGUUCCUCCUCUAUCUAAUAAUCACGAGCGAAUCAUCCGGCCAGUUAUUAGAUUGCAAGAGAGGAAUAUUGUCCUUACUCGGAUUAAUCCAGAGAUCCGUGAUACUAGUGUUCUUGUGAGAUUGCGACCUGCAUGGGAGGAUUUGAAAAGUUAUCUGACAGCAAAAGGACGAAAGCGUUUUGAAGUUUAUGUUUGUACAAUGGCCGAAAGAGAUUAUGCUCUAGAGAUGUGGAGACUUCUUGAUCCAGAGGCACAUCUUAUAAGUGUAAAGCAGCUUUUGACUCGUGUUGUAUGUGUCAGAUCAGUAGGCUCUCGGAAAUCUCUUCUUAAUGUUUUCCAAGAUGGGAUUUGCCAUCCAAAGAUGGCAAUGGUAAUUGAUGACCGCCUCAAUGUUUGGGAAGAUAAGGACCAACCUAGAGUUCACGUUGUCCCUGCCUUUACUCCUUAUUAUGCCCCUCUGGCCGAGAGAGCAAACCCUGUGCCUGUAUUAUGUGUUGCAAGGAAUGUUGCAUGCAAUGUCAGGGCUGGCUAUUUUAAAGAAUUUGAUGAGAACCUUUUGCGAAAAAUUUCUGAACUCCGCUAUGAAGAUGAAGUUAUAAAUUUGCCUUAUGCUCCUGAUGUGAGCAACUAUUUGAUGUCAGAGGAUGCUGGUUUUGUACAAAAUGCCAAUAGAGAUAUUCCCAUUUCUGAGGGCACGAAUGGUGCUGAAGUUGAAAGGAGAUUGAAUAGACCGGAUGAGAAACAUAUUGUAGAUCCUGCUCCUCCUUUCACAAGCAAUCCCAAUGUAAGACCUGAAACACAGAAACUUGUGAACAUCUCACCAAAUGUUAUCAGCCCGGCAACUUCUCGACCCAUUUUACCUUCGCAGAAACCUAGUAUACUUGGAGCUCCUGCUAGAUGGGAUAUUAUCCCCCCUGAAUUAGAUCCUGAUUUGAGGAGAAGACUCCUUAUAUUGCAGCAUGGUCAGGAUGUGAGGGAUCAAUGCUCAGGUGAUCCUCCUAUUCUACCAAGGCCACCUGCACAAGCAUCACCACCAUUAAUACAAACACGUGGAGGCUGGUUAGUAGAGGAAGACAUCAAUAUGGGGCAAAUAAAAAACCAGCCUUUGGGAUUUACUCAUGAAUCUGAUGCAUUACUACCAAAUAAGCGAGAUCAGCAGAGUCUUCAUUACCAUAAUGCUGAUAGUUCUGUUGCCCAUGGCCCUGGGUCAUCCUCUAACACUUCCAAAGUCACAAGUGAUGAGGCAUAUCCUGGACACGAAAAGCAAAAACAAAAUACUUCACAGUCAACUCAGUCUUCAUUCCCAGAGGAUGAUGAGCAAUCUUUGAAUCAAGUGCCCGGCAAUAAUAGAGAUCUUCAAACUGAGGAUGGAAAAGUGACUCUGUUUCCUACCUCUGUAAUAGGAGUGUUGCAAGAAAUUGGGCGGAGGUGUGGCUCUAAGAUGGAGUUCAGAUUUAUUGACAGUACCAUUAAGGAUCGACGGUAUUCUGUUGAGGUCUGGUUCACUGGUGAAAGGAUUGGUGUUGGGGUGGGUAAGACAAAGAGGGAUGCACAACAACAAGCAGCUGAGAAUGCCCUUCAUAGCCUGGCUGAUUACGCAGAUAAAUAUAUGGCUCAGAUUGCACCUGAUUCUGAAGCUGUGGAUAAAGAUAUGAAUAAGCUUUCUGUUGGAAAUGAAAAUGGAUUUCUAUGGGAUGUUGCAAGUCCUGAGUUGGAGGAAAUGCCCAAAGAAGAGAAUUUACCUGAUGCCAGCAGUUCUGAGGUUGCGGAAGACACACUUGGAAAUUCUAAAGAUAUUGCAAAUAAUCAAACACAAAAGCGUGAAAACUCACCGAGGUAUCAUAAGAAAAUGGCUGCAUUGACUUUGUCUGUGGCUGCUCAAUUUGGGGGCCUAAAAAUGUCAUGCUUUGCAACCUCGCCCUCCCAAACAGUUUCAGCAUUUCAGGUGGAAAAGGAGAAAAAUGCUUACUUUUGGCAAAUGGAAGGACAUUAUUGAUUGAAGCUAGCUAGGCAAAUGGUGGAGCACAGGAUGGCAAAGUACAUGGCCCUUUUGGAUUUGCCACCUUGGCUUUUACAUGCUCAAAGACUUUGAAUUGACCUCUGUUCGCUGCAUCAAGUGCAGAAUCUUUCUUCUGGAAAUACAAAAUCCAAGUAACGUAGUUGCUACAAGCCAUACCAUCCAAACGGUCUAAAGAUGAAGCGCUGUGCGGUUUACAAGGUCUGCCAUCCUCGAGAUAUCCAAAGAAUGGGCAUCCCGUUUCUUGACAGGCAUCUGAUUUCUUGAUUAGGAAAUAGCCAUGUAAUGGGAGCAGUUGGGCGAUUUUCACCAAAAUUAAGGUCUUAAGUUUGAGAUAUCCAGGUCUUAGUUUUUGGUUUCAGGCCAUGGUUCAUCUCUUCUUUAUUGGUAAAGUUGGCAGGUGCCUGUGCUGCCAUUGCUGGAGCUCUUCUUGUGGGCUCUCUCCUGAUUUCACGUGGAGCCUGUUCAAUUUUGGUUCCCUUUUUAUGGGGGAUAUCUAGAGGGUGACACACCUUUAGAGUUUGUACAGUAAUUCUGGCAUCCGUCUAAUAUAGUAUUAUCCUUUUUUUUUAUGCCAGUCUAAUAUAUUAUCUUAAUCCGAUCUUCAGGGUUAUAAGAUCAUUAAUUUGACAAUUUUUCUCAAUAUGCUAACUAGGUUUUGUUUCUCUAAUGGUAAAGGGGCAAAAUUGCUUAUGAUGCUGUGAUUAUUUAUCGACUUA